UACGGAGGGGGCUAGCGUUGUUCGGAAUUACUGGGCGUAAAGCGUGCGUAGGCGGUGUUCCAAGUCUGUUGUGAAAUCUCCCGGCUUAACUGGGAGGGUGCGGCGGAAACUGGAACGCUGGAGUAUGGGAGAGGUAAGCGGAAUUCCAGGUGUAGCGGUGAAAUGCGUAGAUAUCUGGAGGAACACCGGUGGCGAAGGCGGCGACCUGGUCCAUUACUGACGCUGAGGCGCGACAGCGUGGGGAGCAAACAGG
rnacentral:rRNA from 1 species